UACGGAGGAUGCGAGCGUUAUCCGGAUUUAUUGGGUUUAAAGGGUGCGUAGGCGGCUUUUUAAGUCAGCGGUGAAAUUUUGCAGCUUAAACUGUAACAGUGCCGUUGAUACUGGGGAGCUAGGAUUUGGUUGCUGUGGGUGGAAUGUGUGGUGUAGCGGUGAAAUGCUUAGAGAUCACACAGAAUAUCGAUUGCGAAGGCAGCUCACAAAGCCAAGAUUGACGCUGAGGCACGAAGGCGUGGGGAUCAAACAGGAUUAGA
rnacentral:rRNA from 1 species